UACGUAGGGCGCGAGCGUUGUCCGGAAUUAUUGGGCGUAAAGAGCUCGUAGGUGGCUUGUUGCGUCUGCCGUGAAAGCCCGUGGCUUAACUACGGGUCUGCGGUGGAUACGGGCAGGCUAGAGGCUGGUAGGGGCAAGCGGAAUUCCUGGUGUAGCGGUGAAAUGCGCAGAUAUCAGGAGGAACACCGGUGGCGAAGGCGGCUUGCUGGGCCAGUUCUGACGCUGAGGAGCGAAAGCGUGGGAGCGAACAGG
rnacentral:rRNA from 1 species